UCUUCGCCACGGGGUGCUGGGCUUCGGGAAAGCCAGCUGUGGACACGAUCCUGCAACCACCUCGGCCCCGAUCCUGCAACCCUCGCUGCGCCCGCGGAGCCCUGCACCUGCACGGAUUUCCCAUUGACUUCAGAGGGAAUCCGGCCCUGAUCCUGCACCGUAGAAGUCAGUGGCAGUUUUGCCACGGACUUCAAUCAAAGCAGGAUCAAGCGCACAGGGGGGUUGACUGCAUGGAGCUUGUGGCAGAAUUAGGGCCUUUAGCAGGUCUGCCGUGGGGAGCCACCCUUACACGCCAGGAAGUCCUUGAUUUGUGGAUUAGAUCUCCACAUCUACCAUGGUCGGUUGGGAUUCGGUUCAGAGUUGACCAACAUGUCUGUGGAAGGUCGAAUCCAGGAACCUUCUGCGUGGGAUCCGCCACAAGCUACCUCCUUGCAGGAUCAAUCUCAGAUAAAAACAAGAGCCUCCCUAACUUCAGUGGGCCUGCUCCAGUAAUAAGGAUGGUAUUUGUGGUUAAGGCUCAGGACGGAGACUGAAGAGACCUGAGUGCUACUCUUUGUUUUGACACAUGCUUCCUAUGUGACCUUGGGCCAAACUUUUCAAAGGAGGCUUCCUUCUAGAUUUGGGUGCCUCCGUUUUUGGGUGCCUCACUUGGUACCCAUUGGGCCUGAUUUUCAUUAUUUCUCCUGCUACUCCCAGUCACUGGAAUUUUGGGGUGUGGCACUUCUGAAAAUCAGGCCCCCGGGGUCCUAAGUUGGACAUCCCAAAACAGAGGACACUCUUGAAAACUUCUGCCCAGAUCCUCUAAACAUUUAACCCGUGUUUAACUUUAAUACCAUGGUCACUGCCCUUGAUUUUUAUGGGGCCCUCACAGCUGCAAAAUUAAGCACGUGCAUAAAUGUUUGCAGGAUUAGAACCUUUGGCUUUAAUCUUAUUGUGCUUCACUUC